UGGUAAAAGGUUAUACAGGGUGAUUCAGGAGACGUGAGCAGGACUAACACUGCGCAUUUCGUAAAUUAUAAGCAACUGUUUCGUAUCAGUAUUAGUGAGGUUAACGUUAAUUUUCUAGUCGUGUUGAAAAAAAUAAAGUUGUUAAUUUAUUUACGACAUGCCCUAAAAUUACCCUAAAAUUAGAAUACUAAACUACCGAUAUUCUGUGUCAAAUUGAAUGUCAUCACUGUCAUCACGGUCUGGUUACAUUUGAAAAUUCGUAUCUCACUCAAGUUUGACAGUUUAUUUUCUUCGUAAUCAAAAUGCUGUCAUUACGGUUAAAGAGGUUUUAUGUUUAUUAAUUAGGUCUUGUAGGGUGACCAUGAUUGUAGAGAAUUAAAUUUGCCCUCACCAAAAUGUUAAAAAAUAGGAAAAAGUGUGGUUGUUUCACCUAAAUACGACGGUGUUCGAUCAAUUAUCAGUUACUGAGUGCGCAGGAUUAGUCCUGCUCACGUCUCAUGAAUCACCCUGUAUACAUUUUGACGACC